CCUUGAGCACCGCUCUUCUUGCUGGUUGUUGAGGUCUAUCAUGUAGCAGUUAAGGUCACCAUUGUGCAGGCUGAAGCUUUGAAUUGCAACAGCACCCUUGAUCACCAUACAUUCUGAAUUACUCCAGCAAGAAUACCCUUUUGGUAAGUAGCUGUUCAAAACCUAGCAACCCUUUAGUGCUGUACAGUUAUGAAAUAGCUAGUGGGACAGUUGAUCACUUUACAGUCUGUUCCAGCACAGGAACCAGCUAUUCCUCAGUAAUGUGCUUAAACAUUUAACAUGUUUGAGUCUAGCAUACCAUUUCUGAUGUAGACAGCUGGCACAGAUAUAGCCAUGAAACAGCUUCAUGCUAUGACAUUAAAACAGGAUACAAGACAAUGAACACUUUAUAUGUAGUAGUUUUAAUCUUGUAUUGAAAAAUAAAUUACAGAAAAUACCUUUAAAUUGCAACAAAGAAAACUAACAAUGCAAAAUGCUUUGCAAGGGGUGGAAUUGCAGUGCUCAAGGCAGGUUACUUCACAAACAUUAAAAGAAAGCAAUGUGACAUGUAAACACUGACAAACUGAUCUUUGCCCUAUCACAGAACCAUUGUUCCACUACAGAAAGGUCUACGAAAUUGAUAGUUUAUACAUUACACAUGCUGUAUUUAAUUUGAUAUAAAAGCUAAACUGCAGAAAAGUGCUUACAGGUGAUAAUUUUUGGAUGGAAUUCCGAACAAGAUUGGCAAAAGUGUUGCAACUGCUAUAUUGCUAAUAAAGUCGAUCAGUUUUAGAACGGCUGUGAUAUUUCAGGAGCUUCUAGAGGUUUAAGAAAGAAGGAAGAAAAGGCAUGGCAGUGUACAGUUCAGGGGAGUGCUGCUUAACUACAGCGCUUUACAUGUCACAGCAUGGGGUGGAUUCGAGUCUUUACAGUUUGCGUUGAUGUAACGCUUCCUGUCUUUACCUUGUUGCGAUUUCUACUGAACCGGUUGUUAAGUUUUAGCUUGGCUAUAACAUGACAGGAAGCAGCAGAGAUACCUCUUUUCCCUGAUAAUGCCACAUGGGUGUUGCAUUUUAAGGGCUCAGGACUGAGGGGGAAAUGCUACAUCAGCCCUUUAAUCUGAAGUGGGGCAGGAAGGGAGGACAGGCAACACUGUUCAAAGUCAUGACCAGCAGGGCAGGAGUACUGACUAAAUAGAUGCCUGGUGAGCUACCUACAGCAUGUAAGAAUGUAAACUUUGGUUUGUGGUUCCUUAGGCUGUCAGGGAACACUAGUGCCACCCUCAAUUGGCCUUUAACUUGGCGUGCUGCGUCACCUGCUCGCUCAGACUGGCUUUGAUGGAAUUUGCCACGCUUUGCCUAAUGUUAUCCUCCAUAUAGUGAUCACUCAGAGGCUUCAACACCUGGAAAGUGAGAAUGUGAGAGAAAAAAAAGAUGGGAAUAUGAGACCAAAGAGGAAUUAAAAGGAAAAAGCUGGGAUGCAGAGCACACAAUUACAGUUUAAGCAGAGAAUGUUUUAAAAAAAACACACCUAGAAGGUCUGAGGUCAAAAAUAUGAGCCACUACAACCAUCCCACCCCUGUCAAGCACCCAUUUAUACAAAAAAAAAAAAAAAAAAA